GAAACUGGAAGAAUCUAUGGAUCCAACAAGCUGAUCAGAUUGCAAUAUGGUCCUCCCAUCUAAAGCUUGUGGCUGUCAACACUCGGAAGGGCCUUCUCUGAGUGUCCUAAAAGCAUCUAGCUGGAUCCUAGAGUCAUGUGAGGUGUAAUGAUGCUCCCAGCCAAGAAGAAGACAAUGGUGAAUACUGAGCUGGAGCUCAUGACUCCCUGUGGAUCAGGAACAAGAGCAGAAGCAAGAGAUGUGAGGGAGCUGUUGGCAAGGCCUGCUGCCACAAACCAAGAUGAGCCAGAUUAAGCCCAUCUUGCUACCAAGAGUUGGCUGACUUAAUGGAAUAAUCCUGAACUAAAUAUCUUCCCAAUCUCAUAAAGAUUUGACAUCAGCAAGUGAAGGGCAAGAAAAGACACAGAUGAGACAAGCUCUUAGAAGCAGAGCUUACAGAACUGCUGUCAUCUUUCAGGAUUGGAGAGAAAAAGCCAAGGUGAAUAGCCAGGAAGUGAGAUUUUGAAGCGAGGU
rnacentral:lncRNA from 1 species